GCUGGAAUAGCUCAGGUUGUUAGAGCGUGUGGUUAUUAACCACAAGGUCGGGGGUUCAAGCCCUCUUUUUAGCG
rfam:Ipomoea nil DNA, scaffold: scaffold3017, cultivar: Tokyo-kokei standard.